GGUGACACAGCACUGAAAUGUCUGCUGAUUCGCCUACAAGGAUUUUUCUCAAAGGAAACAGAGAAUCGAGGCGGUCGCUUUAUUAUCGCAGGUGUUAAAGUGAAGCUGAGAAUAAAAAGCCCGAAAGAUGGAACGAAAUUACGUCUAAAAGGAAGAGAAACUGAAGCUGCUUCCUUAAGCUUUUGCUUAUCUCAAAAGGAAAAGUUACCACAUCAGCAUCACACCCAGAUAACUACACAUCAACAUAAAAGCAUCUUUGAGGACCUGGAUGAGGCAGAGAGGGUGUUCCUGUGACCCUGCACCUGCAAUGUUAGAGGAUUAACCAAACCCUGAGUCACGGCUCAAAGAGAGACUGGAGAAUGAAAAAGAAAGGCUGUCGCGGUGAAAGAAUUUCCCCUUGCGAUAUUCAACCUGUCUCAAUAUCGCGUUUUAAACCAAACCCACCUGAUGGGCUCACCAGAGUUUAACUUCAUCAGAACACCAGGAAACACCAGGAGUUCAACUCGGCCAGCUACUCCAUCCACCACCAGAUCUUCGUGCCUGCUAGCCACAUUAGUGCAUGAAAAAUGAAGACGUCAGGAAGGGAAGCCCUCGACAUUCUGUCUUAUUGAAAACGUCCCACCAUCGGAAGGGAAUUAAGCCCGGCUGUUAAAUAAUGCUCCCGCUCAGGGGUACGGCCGCACCGUGGCUUCUUCAUGCAUCUUAGUUAAGUCCUAUUACAAAUGAAAUAUCUGGUCUAACACUGGUCUGCUCACAUCUCACUAAUGAAGUCUCUGUCUCGCCCCGUCUCGCCCCGUCUCGCUCUCGUUCCUCCUGCAGCCGUGUGAAUUAAACAGGCACCCAGGGCCCGGCUAUACAUCAACUGUGUUUUCAGGAGCACCUUAUUGAAUUUGUAAAAGACUUUGAAAC